UAAAGCUCUGACCUUACGGAACGAGCGCAUUUAUUAGAACAAAACCAAUCGGGUUUCGGCCCGUUCGUUGGUGACUCUGAAUAACUCUGCCGAUCGCACGGUCUCGCACCGGCGACGUAUCUUUCAAGUGUCUGCCUUAUCAACUUUCGAUGGUAGUUUAUGUGCCUACCAUGGUUGUAACGGGUAACGGAGAAUAAGGGUUCGACUCCGGAGAGGGAGCCUGAGAAACGGCUACCACAUCCAAGGAAGGCAGCAGGCGCGCAAAUUACCCACUCUCGGCACGAGGAGGUAGUGACGAAAAAUAACGAGACGGAUCUCUUUGAGGCCCGUUAUCGGAAUGAGAACAAUUCAAAUCCUUUAACGAGGAUCUAGCGGAGGGCAAGUCUGGUGCCAGCAGCCGCGGUAAUUCCAGCUCCGCAGGUGUAUAUCUAUGCUGCUGCGGUUAAAAAGCUCGUAGUUGGAUCUGCGUGCUCGGAACUGGUUGGCUCACUGAGUUCAAACUGGUCUCCGGCGCUUUAUUGGCUGGUUUUCCCUUGAUGCUCUUAACCGGGUGUCUUGGGUGGCUAGCACGUUUACUUUGAAAAAAUUGGAGUGCUCAAUACAGGCGUAAAGCCUUGAAUAGUGGUGCAUGGAAUAAUAGAAUAGGACCUCGGCUCUAUUUUGUUGGUUUUCGGAACGCGAGGUAAUGAUUAAGAGGGACAGACGGGGGCAUUCGUAUUGCGACGUUAGAGGUGAAAUUCUUGGAUCGUCGCAAGACGGACGACUGCGAAAGCAUUUGCCAAGAAUGUUUUCAUUAAUCAAGAACGAAAGUUAGAGGUUCGAAGGCGAUCAGAUACCGCCCUAGUUCUAACCGUAAACGAUGCCAACUAGCGAUUCGCAGGCGUUAAACAACGACCUUGCGGGCAGCUUCCCGGAAACGAAAGUGUUCGGGUUCCGGGGGAAGUAUGGUUGCAAAGCUGAAACUUAAAGGAAUUGACGGAAGGGCACCACCAGGAGUGGAGCCUGCGGCUUAAUUUGACCCAACACGGGAAAACUCACCCGGCCCGGACACCGUAAGGAUUGACAGAUUGAGAGCUCUUUCUUGAUUCGGUGGGUGGUGGUGCAUGGCCGUUCUUAGUUGGUGGAGCGAUUUGUCUGGUUUAUUCCGAUAAC
rnacentral:rRNA from 1 species